CGGUAAUUCCAGCUCCAAUAGCGUAUACUAACGUUGUUGCAGUUAAAAAGCUCGUAGUUGGAUUUCUGAUCUUUGCCAAUGGUUGUGUCGCCGCGUGCGAGGCGCCUUGCGCAGAGGUCAACAUAUGUCACGAGCCAGUGUGAUCUAUUCAUUUAGGUCCACUGGGUAAUGACUCGUUUACUUUGAGAAAAUUAGAGUGUUCAAAGCAGGCAUUUGCCUUGAAUAUGUUAGCAUGGAAUAAUAGCAUAGGACUUCGGUUCUAUUUGUUGGUUGUUCGAGAACUGGAGUAAUGAUUGAUAGGGACGGUUGGGGGCAUCCGUAUUCUCAAGCGAGAGGUGAAAUUCUUGGACCUUGGGAAGACGAACAGCUGCGAAAGCGUUUGCCUAGGACGUUCUCUUUAAUCAAGAACGAAAGUUGGGGGAUCGAAGACGAUCAGAUACCGUCGUAGUCUCAACUAUAAACUAUGCCAGCUAGGGAUCGGUGGGUCUUUGUCACGAGUCCAUCGGCACCUUACGAGAAAUCAAAGCAUUUGGGUUCCGGGGGGAGUAUGGUCGCAAGGCUGAAACUUAAAGGAAUUGACGGAAGGGCACCACCAGGAGUGGAGCCUGUGGCUUAAUUUGACUCAACACGGGAAAACUUACCAGGUCCGGACAUAGUAAGGAUUGACAGAUUGAAAGCUCUUUCUUGAUUCUAUGGGUGGUGGUGCAUGGCCGUUCUUAGUUGGUGGAGUGAUUUGUCUGGUUAAUUCCGUUAACGAACGAGACCCGCGCCUGCUAAAUAGUCGGCCUCACUUCUGUGGGUGUUGUACUUCUUAGAGGGACCAUCCUGGGUAUACCGGAAGGAAGUUGCGGGCAAUAACAGGUCUGUGAUGCCCUUAGAUGUUCUGGGCUGCACACGGGCUACACUGCAAGAUACAACAAGCGUCGAUCACGCCUGACUGGAAGGUCCGGCCAAUCUUUGAAUAUCUUGCGUGAUUGGGAUAGACCAUUGCAAUUAUUGGUCUUCAACGAGGAAUUCCUAGUAAACGCGUGUCAACAACACGCAUUGAUUACGUCCCUGCCCUUUGUACACACCGCCC
rnacentral:rRNA from 1 species